rnacentral:rRNA from 1 species
AAGCUUGANCCUUNGGGGAGGCAGCAGUGGGGAAUAUUGGACAAUGGGCGAAANCCUGAUCCAGCCAUGCCGCGUGUGUGAAGAAGGCCCUCGGGUUGUAAAGCACUUUCAGUGGGGAAGAAAGCCUUGAGGCUAAUACCCUCGAGGAAGGACAUCACCCACAGAAGAAGCACCGGCUAACUCCGUGCCAGCAGCCGCGGUAAUA